rnacentral:miRNA from 1 species
GGGGCUGCGCUGGGCUGGGCUGGGCUAGGCUGGGCUGGGCUGCGCUGCCUGGGCCUUCUUCUUUCCCUUGUCCCUCCCCUGCCCUCC